rnacentral:rRNA from 1 species
UCGACGGCAGCGCGGGGCAACCUGGCGGCGAGUGGCGAACGGGUGAGUAAUAUAUCGGAACGUACCCUGGAGUGGGGGAUAACGUAGCGAAAGUUACGCUAAUACCGCAUACGAUCUAAGGAUGAAAGUGGGGGAUCGCAAGACCUCAUGCUCCUGGAGCGGCCGAUAUCUGAUUAGCUAGUUGGCGGGGUAAAAGCCCACCAAGGCAACGAUCAGUAGCUGGUCUGAGAGGACGACCAGCCACACUGGAACUGAGACACGGUCCAGACUCCUACGGGAGGCAGCAGUGGGGAAUUUUGGACAAUGGGCGCAAGCCUGAUCCAGCAAUGCCGCGUGAGUGAAGAAGGCCUUCGGGUUGUAAAGCUCUUUUGUCAGGGAAGAAACGGUGGGGGCUAAUAUCCUCCGCUAAUGACGGUACCUGAAGAAUAAGCACCGGCUAACUACGUGCCAGCAGCCGCGGUAAUACGUAGGGUGCAAGCGUUAAUCGGAAUUACUGGGCGUAAAGCGUGCGCAGGCGGUUUUGUAAGUCUGUCGUGAAAUCCCCGGGCUCAACCUGGGAAUUGCGAUGGAGACUGCAAGGCUAGAGUUUGGCAGAGGGGGGUAGAAUUCCACGUGUAGCAGUGAAAUGCGUAGAUAUGUGGAGGAACACCGAUGGCGAAGGCAGCCCCCUGGGUCAAAACUGACGCUCAUGCA